CACCGGCGUCGCUGCCGCUUCCCACCCCUUUCCUGCCUUCUCUUCCCCGGCACCGCCGGCAGGGCACGGGCCUGCUCGCAGCGCCAGGCCGCCGCGGGAGUCUGCAUCAACUGCCUCUGGAAACCGUGGGUAGGUGGGAUGAACCCAGGCCUGCCUGCUGAACAGCAAGUAACUGACUUAUUCUGCUGUAGCCUGUGCUAACUCUGAGUGCCAUUCUAGUGCAAACAAAUCGCAUUGGGUCAUGGCGGCAGACUCUAUGGAAAUUGAUGAUGCUUUGUAUAGUCGCCAGAGAUAUGUUCUUGGAGACACAGCAAUGCAGAAGAUGGCUCAGUCCCACGUGUUCCUGAGUGGUAUAGGUGGUCUUGGUGUGGAGAUUGCCAAAAAUAUCAUUCUGGCUGGGGUAAAGGCUCUUACAGUUCAUGACACCAAGCAAUGCACAAAAUGGGAUUUAGGGAUCAAUUUCUUCAUCCACGAAGAUGACAUACUUAGUCAAAGGAACAGGGCUGAGGCCACACUUCAUCGUAUUGCUGAACUUAAUCCAUAUGUCCACGUAGCAGCAUCAACUGUGCCAUUAGAGGAAACCACAGAUCUGUCUUUCCUAAAGCACUACCAGUGCGUCAUACUGACUGAAGUAAGCCUAUCGCUGCAGAAGAAGAUUAAUGACUUCUGUCAUGCUCAGCAGCCACCCAUCAAGUUCAUCAGUGCAGAUGCGUACGGAAUAUGUUCACGUCUGUUUUGUGACUUUGGUGAUGAAUUUGAAGUGCUGGAUACAACAGGAGAGGAACCAAAGGAAAUCUUCAUUUCAAAUAUUACACAAUCAAAUCCUGGCAUUGUCACUUGCCUUGAAAAUCAUCCACACAGGCUUGAAACUGGACAGUUCUUAACCUUUCGUGAAGUUAACGGAAUGUCAUGUUUAAAUGGGUCCACACACCAAAUAACAGUGGUGUCACCUUACUCCUUCAGCAUUGGUGAUACAUCAGAUAUGGAGCCUUACUUGCAUGGUGGCAUAGCUGUCCAAGUGAAGACCCCCAAGAUGUUUUACUUUGAACGGUUGGAGAAGCAGCUAACAAAUCCAUUAUGCCUAGUUGCAGACUUUAGCAAGCCUGAGGCACCUUUGCAGAUCCAUGUUGCCAUGCUUGCCUUGAACCACUUCCAGGAGAACUUUGGUCGCAUGCCAAACAUUGGAUGCCUUCAAGAUGCUGAGGAAAUGCUGAAAAUAGCCAUGUCUGUAAGCAAAACACUGGAAAACAAACCUCGGGUAAAUGGAGAUAUAGUGAAAUGGCUGUCUAGAACUGCUCAGGGAUUUCUAGCUCCUCUGGCUGCAGCAGUGGGUGGUGUUGCUAGUCAGGAAGUCCUGAAAGCAGUAACAGGAAAAUUUUCUCCGUUACAGCAGUGGUUGUACAUAGAUAUGUUAGACAUUGUUACAUCUCUGGAAAAGAUGGGCUCUGAAGAAUUUCUUCCACGGGGAGAUAGGUAUGAUGCCUUGAGGGCUUGUAUUGGAGACCCUCUAUGCCAGAAGCUGCAUAAUUUGAAUGUUUUUUUGGUUGGCUGUGGAGCAAUAGGCUGUGAAAUGCUAAAAAACUUUGCACUUCUUGGUGUUGGUACUGGGCAAGAUAAAGGAUUGGUUACAAUUACAGAUCCAGACUUGAUAGAGAAAUCCAACCUGAACAGGCAAUUUCUCUUUCGACCUCAUCACAUACAGAAACCUAAAAGCUAUACUGCAGCAGAAGCAACUCUGAACAUCAAUCCUUACUUAAAGAUUGACUCAUAUAUUAAUAAAGUUUGUCCAGCCACUGAGAACACUUACAGUGAUGAAUUCUACACCAAGCAAGAUGUGAUUGUGACUGCUUUGGACAACGUUGAGGCGAGGAGGUACAUCGAUAGUCGUUGCGUAGCAAACCUGCGUCCUCUUAUAGACUCUGGAACUAUGGGAACGAAAGGACACACAGAAGUUAUUGUGCCUCAUCUGACAGAGUCAUAUAAUAGUCACCGGGAUCCACCGGAAGAAGAAAUACCUUUUUGUACCUUGAAGUCUUUCCCAGCUGCCAUUGAACAUACGAUACAGUGGGCAAGAGAUAAGUUUGAAAGUUCAUUUUCUCAUAAGCCUUCAUUGUUUAACAAAUUUUGGCAAACCUAUCCAUCUGCAGAAGAAGUUUUACAGAGAAUAAAAUCAGGGGAGAGUUUAGAAGGCUGUUUUCAUGUUAUUAAAACACUCAGUAGAAGACCCCGAAGUUGGACUCAGUGUGUGGAACUAGCAAGAGUAAAAUUUGAAAAAUAUUUUAGCCAUAAGGCUCUUCAGCUUCUUCAUUCAUUUCCCCUUGAUACACGAUUAAAAGAUGGAAGUUUGUUCUGGCAGUCACCAAAGAGGCCACCUUUCCCAGUGAAGUUUGAAUUUAAUGAUCCUUUGCACUAUGGUUUCAUUGUGAGCGCAGCAAAACUCUUUGCAACCGUGUACUGUGUUCCCUUCACAGAAAAGGAUUUGUCAGAGGAAACUAUUUUGAAGAUAACUUCAUCUGUGAAGGUACCAGAGUUCAGACCUUCAAACAAAGUUGUACAGACCGAUGAAACUGCAAGAAAACCAGAUCAUAUUCCAGUCAGCAGUGAGGAUGAAAGAAAUGCUAUUUUCCAGCUGGAGAAGUUUAUACUAUCCAAUGAAGCUUUGGAAAAUGACUUGCAAAUGAAGCCCAUUUCUUUUGAAAAAGAUGACGAUACUAAUGGACAUAUAGAUUUCAUAACAGCAGCAUCAAACUUACGAGCCAAGAUGUACAACAUCGAACCAGCAGAUCGGUUCAAAACAAAGCGCAUUGCUGGAAAGAUUAUUCCUGCAAUUGCAACGGCUACUGCUGCAGUUUCAGGGCUGGUUGCACUGGAACUCAUCAAAGUUGUGGGUGGUUACCCAGCUGAUGCAUACAAGAACUGUUUUCUGAACUUAGCCAUUCCCAUAAUGGUCUUUACAGAAACUGCUGAAGUAAGAAGAACUGAAAUCAGAAAUGGGAUAUCAUUUACAAUCUGGGACAGGUGGACAAUUUAUGGAAAAGAGGAUUUUACACUGUUGGACUUCAUAAAUGCUGUCAGAGAGAAAUAUGGAAUUGAACCAACUAUGGUUGUACAGGGAGUCAAAAUGCUGUAUGUUCCCGUGAUGCCAGGUCAUAUUAAAAGAUUAAAGCUGACGAUGCAAAAGCUUGUGAAGCCAUCUGCUGAUAAAAAGUAUGUGGAUUUGACAGUAUCAUUUGCUCCAGAGACUGAUGGAGAUGAAGACUUGCCAGGGCCACCAGUGAGAUACUACUUUGUUCAGGAAGACAAUUGAUGGUAGAGGUGCAAAAGUCACUCCAGGACCAUUUGUUUUGAAAGGAGUGUGCUAAUUUUCAGCUAUUAAAGAUGGUACUAUAUAUUUUUUUUUUUUGGUGAAGCCUUAAUUAAAGCAAAUGGUGAAAGUCAGUUGCUUUGCACUGAAGACAAACUGGACUUGUUUCAUCUCCUGUUACCUUCAAACCUGUUUACUCAAGGGAGGAUUGGUCACUCCAUGAGAUGGAAUGUCCAGUACAGUCCUUACCUUAAAGACAAGAUAUGUUUUAAUUUGUGGGGAGCUGAAGAAAGCAAGAAGAACAGUGAACGUAACAGAUUGUCCCCAUGUGCAAUUUAAGCACUGCUUAGAGAAGAUUGCAAAAACUGGGGAAACUGCCAUUUUAUGAUAUUCCUGUCAAAUCCAUUUCAUGUGUUAUUUUCUUCUCAAAUGAGAAUUUCAAUCUUGCCAUCUACAUGAGGGAUAACCCAUCCAAAAUGUUUAAACUUCCACUUAAAAGCAGAUGAGCUGCUCUGCUGUGUUGUUGGUGCUCUCUUCUGAACUGUAUGUGAUGCUGUGUGUCAGAGCAGCUAUCUUAAUGUCAGUCUCCACGUGGAAACAGAGGGAGGCAGGUCUUGAACAGGUAUAAAAAUUGUCAUAGCUCCCCUGAAGUCAAGACACCUGGAAUUGUUCAUUAUCUGCACUAAGACUGUUCUCUGGGGAAUACUGCAAUAUGGGGAAAGUGGAACCCUAUCGGAGAGCUGAGUUAACACUUUCAACAAUAAAACUUUGCCUUCAAGAAAGAGAAAAUGUUCAGUGUGGUUGAGCCUUUCUGCCCUUACCAAAUUGCGAGCACUGUAGCAAGAGAUGACUUUGAAAGGAGGAGUUGGUUUGUUUAAGAAAAAAGCCAGGAUCAGCUGAAGGAGUGUAGCUCAGCUGUAGAUACUCCAUCCUGGAAGCACUUUGUUUGGUCCAGCUGCCUGACACACUUUAGAGGCUAAAAAUAUUAAACUCGGAUCCUACUGCUGAUCACUUCAGUCGCUUGUUUUGAAGGCUGGAUCCCCAAUUUCCGAGAGGAAUUUCGAGAUGGAUUCUGUGGCUGAGGCUCGUUAUCAGCCUGAGAGAACAGAGAAUGACAGUGUAAGAACAACCGCAGCAAACAAAGUACGAUAUUUUCAUGUUCAGAUAACUUUCAUCCCUUUAGAAGUACCUUGCCUGGAAAUGAGCCUCCUGCCAAGCUACAUCACACCCUGAAGCAUUGCACUUCCCCAGUUGCUCCAAGUUCAAUUAGUGAGAGAGGAUGGAAGUGGGAAGGAAAGAAAUCAUGGGCUCUGUUGGAGUAAAAGGAGUAAGGCGUGUGGAUCCAAACGGAAGGCCAAGCUAAGGAGGUUCAAUUCUUUGCUCACUUUAUAUUCUCAGAUACUCCAGAGAAAACUGCCUGAUGUCUUGAGGGGGAGUUUCCCUGGUGUUAGAUUCCUCAGCACUGCCUCCCUCUUUGGCUGCCUUUUGGUGCCUGGCCACACCAAAGAAGGCAUUUCUACUCUCACGUCAGAAUGGAGACCUGAAUAUCCAUGACAGAUGGGGUAAAGCACCAAGCAGCUUACAAAUCAUGUCUUUCAUUUUCUUACCUUCACUUCUAGUUCCUCAUUUGACAGUGUCAGGAUGAACUGUGACGAGUCAUUUUCGUUUGGAUAAAUACUGGUUGCUGAGGUCAAAGCUGAUAUAUCUAGCUUCUGUGAGUACUAAGGAAGCAACAAAAAGAAAUAACACAGGUUGUAAUUUUCACCCCAAAUCUAGCUGCUCUUCAAAGAAAUUUGUUUAGAAGAAAAUGCAUGGAAACUUUUUCUAGAUCUUGGAUUAAAUUUCACUGACAGACAUUUC